AACGAACGCUGGCGGCAGGCCUAACACAUGCAAGUCGAGCGAGAUCUUCGGGUCUAGCGGCGGACGGGUGAGUAACGCGUGGGAAUAUGCCCUUUGGUGCGGAAUAGCCUCGGGAAACUGGGAGUAAUACCGCAUGUGCCCCUCGGGGGAAAGAUUUAUCGCCAAAGGAUUAGCCCGCGUUGGAUUAGGUAGUUGGUGGGGUAAUGGCCUACCAAGCCUACGAUCCAUAGCUGGUUUGAGAGGAUGAUCAGCCACACUGGGACUGAGACACGGCCCAGACUCCUACGGGAGGCAGCAGUGGGGAAUCUUAGACAAUGGGGGAAACCCUGAUCUAGCCAUGCCGCGUGAGCGAUGAAGGCCUUAGGGUUGUAAAGCUCUUUCAGCUGGGAAGAUAAUGACGGUACCAGCAGAAGAAGCCCCGGCUAACUCCGUGCCAGCCGCCGCCGUAAUAC
rnacentral:rRNA from 1 species